rnacentral:rRNA from 1 species
UACGUAGGGUGCGAGCGUUGUCCGGAAUUAUUGGGCGUAAAGGGCUCGUAGGCGGUUUGUCGCGUCGGGAGUGAAAACCCCGGGCUUAACUCGGUGCUUGCUUUCGAUACGGGCAGACUAGAGGCAUGCAGGGGAGAACGGAAUUCCUGGUGUAGCGGUGAAAUGCGCAGAUAUCGGGAGGAACACCGGUGGCGAAGGCGGUUCUCUGGGCCUUACCUGACGCUGAGGAGCGAAAGCAUGGGGAGCAAACAGG